rnacentral:rRNA from 1 species
AUUGAACGCUGGCGGCAUGCCUUACACAUGCAAGUCGAACGGCAGCACGGGUGCUUGCACCUGGUGGCGAGUGGCGAACGGGUGAGUAAUACAUCGGAACAUGUCCUGUAGUGGGGGAUAGCCCGGCGAAAGCCGGAUUAAUACCGCAAACGAUCCACGGAUGAAAGCGGGGGACCUUCGGGCCUCGCGCUAUAGGGUUGGCCGAUGGCUGAUUAGCUAGUUGGUGGGGUAAAGGCCUACCAAGGCGACGAUCAGUAGCUGGUCUGAGAGGACGACCAGCCACACUGGGACUGAGACACGGCCCAGACUCCUACGGGAGGCAGCAGUGGGGAAUUUUGGACAAUGGGCGAAAGCCUGAUCCAGCAAUGCCGCGUGUGUGAAGAAGGCCUUCGGGUUGUAAAGCACUUUUGUCCGGAAAGAAAUCCUUGACUCUAAUACAGUCGGGGGAUGACGGUACCGGAAGAAUAAGCACCGGCUAACUACGUG